CAGCAUGAAUCUGGAGGGGGUGAGUACAGACAGGAAGACUAGGUAGAGAUUAGUGCUUUGCUUUCAGGUGAAAAAAAAAAUGAGGUCAGUGAAUUAUUAAAUAAAAAGGAAUGGCAGAGGAGAAAGAGAGGACAGGAUUGAGCUGAACUGUUCAGGAGCUGGAAUGGUUAGGACUUGGAUUGUCCAGAGAGUUUUCUCUCUGUGACUUAAAAUAUAUGGCUUUUCCCAGUUUUCCUGGGUUAGUUUUUAAUUUUUUAAACUUGCGAUUUCAAAUGAGUCAUUCUACCCCUUAGACUGUCCAGAGAGGGAGGGGGCUCUUUGCAUAUUUAUUUUUCCUAAAGCUCAGCCUAAUACUGUGUUCUUUUUAGGUCAGAUGGGCAGACCUGGAAGAGAAGAAGGAUGCAGAUAGGAAAAGGGCCAUAGGUUUUGUGGUCGGACAGACUGAUUGGGAGAAGAUCACAGAUGAAAGUGGUCACCUGGCUGAAAAAGCCCUCAAUCGAACCAAAUAUAUAUGAGACUUAGUUUUUGAACGGAGUCAUUAUUCCUCUAAGGUGGUUCGCUUUGAGGUGGUCUGAAGCCAAGGCCUCACGGAGCUUCUUUGUGUGUCACCUUGCUUCCACGUUUCAGUUCUUGUUUUGUUUCUACUGCUUUAGUUUUUUUUAAAGUUCUCCAGUGUCCCCAAGAGGUAUUAGAAUCUUGCUGUACCCAAGCAAGAUGUUAAUUUUUCUUUUAACUGUUUUGGGGAGGGAGGGAGUGAUAGCUUAACUGCUGAAGCCAGGCGGGGGUCUGCUGGAGGAUUCCAACUGAGAAUAUUUCCUCCACUGUACAAUGUCACAGACUGUCAUCAUUGCUUUGUGGCUGUUUCUGUUUUUUACUGUAUGUAACUGGUAGCUGAUUGUACUAGGAUUAAAAACAAUAAACUUUCAUGAUAAAGCCGAUGAGAUUCAUGGGCUAUACAGCAUGGGCCCUUUUCUCUUGUUUUCUGAAUUUUAUUUUUAAUUGCUUUUUAAAUAUGGUUAUGUCCUAAUUAAAUGCUAGCUGAACAUCCCAAAACCUCUUUUUCAUUGAAUAUUAUAUGGCUCAAUGAUUCCGUAGCACAUGUUGUAAAACACAGGGUUCAAAUGAUGUUCAAAACACUCGUCUUUGUUGUAUAGCUGAUUUCUCUAUCUUUGUGUCUUGAAGACUGACAAACCAAAUUCAAAUAUUCAUCAGUUCCCUGGAGCAUAUCCAUUCUGUAACGUGAUGCUUUAUUUAAAAAUUUUUUUUGAUCCUCUCUGUUCUUCCCUCUCUUCUUUCCUUCCUUCUUCUUUUCACUUUCUGCCUUUAUGCUAUGUUAGGUUUUUAUUUUUUCCUGAUCUGACUUUGAAUCCUGGUAGACAGAACUGAUGUAUUCCGUGGAACUCAAGCUUGUUGCCUUCAUUUGAACUUGAAUUGUGGAUUUUUAAAUGAAGAUUGCAGGGAAAGAGUAUAAAGAUGCAGAGCACUCUGGCAUGUAACCUUUAAGCCUGUCAGGUUUUCAAGUUCUUGCCAGAUUGUUCAUUACUGGAAAGCAUGGCCUUCUGCACAGAAUUUCCUCUCUUGUGGUUAAUACCAGGUGGAACCCAGAAACAUACAGAGAUAAAACCCAAAUAUUAUUUUUAUUUAAACACAGAAAAGGGACUCUUCCCAUCCUGCAAAGAAAAAAGUCAUCUUUUAGCAUGAAAGAAGAUGAGAGAGCCUUCUUCCUCAAGCAGCAUUUGCAUUUUGUAAUCCAACUCAGCAAUUUGUAAAUGUGUUCACUGAAGACUUCAAUAUUUUGAAAUAUUCUCUUUCAGGCCACAGAUGAAAAUCCUUUACUUUUAUGACCUACAUUAAAGACUGUAUGAAUAGAGCUAAUAGUUACUAGCAUUUGAAUAGUAUCACUUUGGGUUCAACAAAUUGAUAUUAUAGUACUGAAUACCCCUAAUUUAAUGGAAAUUCUAACAACUUUCUGUACUUUUAUCUGCCCUGAAAAUCUGAAUUUUUAAGCAAAAGAGACUUUAAGUUCAUUAACAAGUCAAUAUUGAAUGUAUAAAUUGCUACAUAAAAUAACUUCCGCUGUUUGU
rnacentral:sRNA from 1 species